CCUACGGGGGGCUGCAGUGGGGAAUAUUGGACAAUGGGGGGAACCCUGAUCCAGCCAUGCCGCGUGUGUGAAGAAGGCCCUCGGGUUGUAAAGCACUUUCAGUGAGGAAGAACGCCUGGUGGUUAAUACCCAUCAGGAAAGACAUCACUCACAGAAGAAGCACCGGCUAACUCCGUGCCAGCAGCCGCGGUAAUACGGAGGGUGCGAGCGUUAAUCGGAAUUACUGGGCGUAAAGCGCGCGUAGGUGGCUUGAUAAGCCGGUUGUGAAAGCCCCGGGCUCAACCUGGGAACGGCAUCCGGAACUGUCAAGCUAGAGUGCAGGAGAGGAAGGUAGAAUUCCCGGUGUAGCGGUGAAAUGCGUAGAGAUCGGGAUGAAUACCAGUGGCGAAGGCGGCCUUCUGGACUGACACUGACACUGAGGUGCGAAAGCGUGGGUAGCAAACAGGAUUAGAUACCCUAGUAGUC
rnacentral:rRNA from 1 species